GCAAAAAGGUAUGAACUUGAACUUUGAACUACCUAGAAAUCAAUAUUUAUUACAGCAAAAAAUGGACCAUUACGGCAGAAGUAAUGCACUAAUCAAAUCAGCUAUGACAACUAAAGUGUUUUCUGAUAAAAAAGACUUCAGAGAGAGAAGAUGAAAAAAAAAACUAACUUCAUUUUUCUGACAGAAGACCUUCGGUAAAACUGGAACCUCUGCUAAGAAUGUAAUGGCAAUUAAACUGUGCAUAUCUGUAUAACAAAAAGCAGAAAGGAAAACAAAAAUGCCCUUCUCUUCAUCUUCUUCAUCUUUAUUAGGAGAUGGUUUUCUGCUUGGGUAUAUACUUUAACUUGACACCUUUCUCAGACUUUGUUCUGAUCUUGGCUUUACUGGCUCCAGUGAUCGAAGAUUCAUGUACCCCCACAUCAACCAACUGAUUCUCCACAUUGCCAAGAAGACCGCAUUUUUUAAUAUCUGAUGACCCAGCUACACCUAUUAGACAGUCAUUCUUAAUCUCCAUACAUUCUGAAGAUUCUAAGUCUGGACAUAGAACCAAUUUGACAUGUUCAGCUGCAAUUGCCUCCUUCCACCUCUCUGCAAGAAAUGCUUUUGCUGCUUGGCAUGAGAACUGCAAGCUUCCUGGAUGCAGUAUCUCCAGCAGAAGUGGGAAACUGUUCCCUGUUAUGCCAUUGUUGUCAUCCACAGAACACGAACUAAGACAGUUUCCUUCAGCUGGUGUAUGAUCAUCUCCCUUAUCAGCGAUCCCAUCAACUUGAAAUUCUCUAGCUCCAUUUUCAACCAAUAUUAGAUCUUUGGUUCCAUUUCUACUCACAGGCCUCCAAAGCUUUAUUGUUGACCGAUUUGUGCUGGAGUGAGAAGAAUCAGGUCUAUUGUGCUUAUCAUAAACAUUGUUUUUCUUUGGCAUUUGAUGCUCUGACAGAAAAUCAUCUCUAGCUCCAUCAAAAUUGUGAACCUCAUGUUGGCUGCAGUUUCCAAGUGUAACAGAUAUAGAACCAAUCAGAACCUCAUGCUUCUUAUUGUGAUCUGGCAGGCUUAUUGCUUCUUUCUGCGCUCUAGUUUUCAAACUGUCAACAAGAUAAUCUGGUUUAGGUUUUCGGCUCCACUUUCUGUUGCCAUUGAUUGAAUGCACUGGUUUUGAGUCCCUGUGAUUUCCAUGCUUCUGCAUGCCGCCAAGUUUUGGUGCCUGAGAAUUCAGACUUGCAUGGAAACCAUUUGGCACAUAAUUCCAUUGUGACUUUGGAGACAACAGCCAGCGACUGGCUGAGUGCCUACGACCAUUUCUUUGUAUUGCCUGCCUUUCAACAUUAUGACUAGUGCCAGGAUCACUGCCAGACCCUGUCUGAAUUUCCAAAUCCACAUCUUCAUCCAUGCUUGGCAGUUGGAAAGGUUCAAAAGAUGAGGGAACAUGAUCUGGCAGUGCCUCCAGACCAUUCACACUAGAAUCAGAUGGAAUCAAAGGGAAUUGCUCAGUUGAAGACACAGUCUCCACUGUAUCAUCAAUCCACUCCUUGAGAUCAGCCUGCUCCUCUUGCCUUUGCUCUUUAGCUUUCUGUUCUUUCUGCCUGAGUUUUUUCUGCCUCUUCUUCUCCAAGAGCUCAGCUUGUCUUCUCUGAGCAGCUUCUUCCUCCUCCACCAGCAACUGUUGGCACCUUAAAGCUUCAGCAUCCUUGUCAGCAAGCCAUGCUUUAACCAAUUUCUGUUCCACCAGAAAGCUGGUGCAAGCAACUAAAUUCUUUGUUUCGAGACCAAUCUUCCCAGCUUCCCCAUCAAAAAUAUAUUUUUGCAUUGAUACAGCUGUUCCACUUCCACACAGGAAUGUCUUUUCACUGGCGUCAUCAAGGAUGCUGAAUAGUUCUUCAGAAGGCAAAGGAAACCUUGAAGGCCUAGCCUGGAUGAUAUCCAAAAGGGCAGAACCAGCCCUCAAACAAUGUUGUGGAAGGGAAGAAAAUCCAGGUUUCCGAAUAAGUGCCAUCAUUGACUUUAUAAUUGAAGAGCCUGGAACUUCCUAGUGGGUAAUUACAACAAAUGAAACAGUUGUUUAUACAAUAGUCAAGAACAUGCAUGAAUUAUGAAUUUAAGAUUUAUGUUACUACUUACUGCAUUUUCUAAGAAGAAAAAAGUAAACCAUCCAGUACCAAUCAAUACUGCAAUCAUUCCGAACUAUAGUAACAAAAGAAUUUCAAGAGCAACUCCUAAUCCAGAUAAUGAUUAACAACAAAUAAAGAUAUAGAAAAGAAAAGGCAUUCAGCUUAUAUCAUCAAACUAAACCAACAUCCCAAAUUGAUAAGUAAUACAGCGACACAGAUAUUCAUAUCCAGUAAACUAGAUAUGCUACUAGAAGUUUUACUCAUGCAAACAGAUGCAGCAUAUGAAUAAAAUACCUCCAGUGUCACAUCCUUGAAUGAUAAAAUUUCCUUUGCCUCAUCCUCAGAAAGCUUAUCCCAAAAGGUUCCCAAUAGAUCCCUAUUUUUGGAAGAACCCUUGUCAAGUUUUUUUAAUCGAUGUUGUACACGUAUGUGCCUUCUGUAGUUAAUAGAUGAACAGAACUCUCUAGAACACUUUUCACACUUUUGCAUCUGCACCUUCAAAGGAGUGAGCAAAGGCCAACCUGGGAGAUCUUGCUGAUCUAGUGCAUGUAAUAAUUGGAUCCACUGUACUGGGCUAUCACCAGGCCUUGAGAAAGAAAGAAAGGGCUCUUUUCCAAUUGCCUGCCUGAUAAAUGUGUCUAGGGAAUCAUUUCCAUCCUCUGUUUUCAUCACAUCUGUGUUGUUUGAGGCCUUGAGUUUUGCAACUGGCAUUUAUGCACACAAAAAGCAAACCUAGCAGCUCACUGAAAGCCACUGUACAAAAGACCAAUGCUCAUAUUAAAAUCCUGCAAACAAGCACUCUAUGAAUGCACAAAGAAAAAUGUAAUUUGUAAGAAUCUCUUUAAUGUCACAAUUUAUUGAACUAAUGUAAAGAUGAAUGCAUCAUCUUACAAUGAAGAAUUGGCAACAAAAGCUACAUAGAGUCUCCAAACUCUGUUAUGAUCUCACAAAGACUCUGAAAUACUAACAUAAUUUUUCAUGGAAAAUGUUCUCUUUCUCCCUCUCUAUUUGUGUUGAAAAAUGCAAGUGCUAAGAACUCAAUUGUAUGCCUCACACUGAAAAUUGCAACGAAGAAUCUAAUUGUAACAUUUUACACGUAUAAACAAUACCCUAUCUGUCUACCGAGACAUCCAAAUUACCACCAAACUUCUAUAGUUAGCUCACACACUAAAGAAAUACAUAAUAAAGACUAGACAUUGAAAUUUUUCCUACACUUCUUGUUCAUACUUUUUUUGUUAAAUUUUUUAUUUUUAUGUGGCUGCAUGUCCACCGACAUUGAAAUUUUUCUACACUUUUUUUUCAUAUUGUUUCUUUUUUUCUUUUUUAUGUGGCUGCACAUCCACCAACUGCCAGCUGCACUCCACUUACUGCACUGAUUUAUUCUAUCUUUUUCCACAGAACAAAUUCUGAAGAUAACAAGUCAUUUUGCCUAUAAACUACAAGGCCUAUUAAGAGGGCACAUCCAUAUCCAACUCAGAAUUCUAUAAAUAGUGCAAGCGUGAGCGCAAGACAGGCAUUUUCAUUCCUACAUUGUGGUAUAAUAGAAAGUUAAUGAGUCCAGUUGCAUCUACUCAAAUAAUGAUAUAAGUUCCUAGUUCAGAGAAGCAAACACACAAAGCUAUCUUCCUGCUUCCUUAUAGCUUCAGGAAACAAGUUGAAAAACUUGAUUAUACAAAAAAAAUAACCAACAUAUUCCACCAAAUGUAAGCGGCAGCUACCUAUUACAUAGAAAGACCUUAUAAGGAUGGAAACUAGAUAUGAAUUAACAGUUCCAUAACAAUAACAAACUAGCCAAUACAAACAGAUAAAGAUCAAAUCUUUAAAACCAAUAUGGAGUCCAGCAUUGUCAAACUCCAAAA
rnacentral:misc_RNA from 1 species